rnacentral:rRNA from 1 species
UACGGAGGGGGCUAGCGUUGUUCGGAAUUACUGGGCGUAAAGCGUACGUAGGCGGCUUUGUAAGUUAGAGGUGAAAUCCCGAGGCUCAACCUCGGAACUGCCUUUGAUACUGCAAAUCUCGAGUCCGGAAGAGGUGAGUGGAAUUCCUAGUGUAGAGGUGAAAUUCGUAGAUAUUAGGAAGAACACCAGUGGCGAAGGCGGCUCACUGGUCCGGUACUGACGCUGAGGUGCGAAAGCGUGGGGAGCAAACAGG